rnacentral:rRNA from 1 species
CAGUCGCCGCGGUAAUACGUAGGUGGCAAGCGUUGUCCGGAAUUAUUGGGCGUAAAGGGCUCACAGGCGGUUUCUUAAGUCUGAUGUGAAAGCCCCCGGCUCAACCGGGGAGGGUCAUUGGAAACUGGGAAACUUGAGUGCAGAAGAGGAGAGUGGAAUUCCACGUGUAGCGGUGAAAUGCGUAGAGAUGUGGAGGAACACCAGUGGCGAAGGCGACUCUCUGGUCUGUAACUGACGCUGAGGAGCGAAAGCGUGGGGAGCGAACAGGAUUAGAUACCCCCGUAGUCCCUGUCUCUUAUAC